UGGAUUGAAGGGAGAGUGAUGUGUGAAAAUAUCCGACCCUGCAACAGUCGCAACACAUACUUGUGCAGCUUGCCAACUCCCAGCAAGCCAGAAUACGUGUGCUUGUUACCUCUGCUUUUACCGCAACCACACUCAAAUGCAGCCACACUCCAGUAGAUGUGAGGUGGUGCUUGACAUUCUAUCUGGAAAGGACUAAACCAUUUCGGCCAUCAUACUGGCUUUCUGUCUCUUAUGUGGUUCAGAUGAAAGAUCAGACAGUCUCUGCACAGACUAUUUCCAGUGUCUACAUGGGUUCCCUUCCAUCCAUCUCUCACUCCUGCAUCACAGUCUUAGAAGUUCCAACACCGAAAAGAACAAGGCCAGUGACAUUAGGAUGCUGAACUGCUGAUGGAAUGGACCAGCUUCUAACAUGAUUAUCCUUUACCCUGAGGUGCAAAAUAAUAAAGGAAAAAAUUGCUGACAAAAGCCAAUUUAUUUAAGUGUCACUUCUGGAUACAUAUUAAUGUCACUAGGACAAUAUU